GAUAAACGCUGGCGGCGCACAUAAGACAUGCAAGUUGAACGGACUUAAUCGAACUAUUUAUAUUUUGAAGCGGUUAGUGGCGGACUGGUGAGUAACGCGUAAGGAACCUGCCUAUUAGAGGGGAAUAACAGUGAGAAAUCAUUGCUAAUACCGCAUAUGCCAUAGAUAUCACAUGAUAACAGUGGGAAAGGAGCAAUCCGCUAAUAGAUGGCCUUGCGUCUGAUUAGAUAGUUGGUGGGGUAACGGCCUACCAAGUCGACGAUCAGUAGCCGGACUGAGAGGUUGGACCCCCACUUUGGGACUGGGGCACGGCCCAGACCCCUCCGGGAGGGAGCAGUCGGGAAUUUUGCGCAAUGGAGGAAACUCUGACGCAGUGCCGCCGGGUAAAGGAAGAAGGUUUUCGGAUUGUAAACUUUUGUCGUUAGGGAAGAGAAAGGCCAGUACCUAAGGAGGAAGCCCCGGCUACCUCCGU
rnacentral:rRNA from 1 species